rnacentral:rRNA from 1 species
UACGUAGGGUGCGAGCGUUAUUCGGAAUCAUUGGGCGUAAAGGGUAUGUAGGCGGUUUAUUAAGUCUGCUGUUAAAUUUCCCAGCCUAACUGGGAGUAGGCGGCAGAAACUGAUUUACUAGAGUGUGGGAGAGAGAGGUGGAAUUCUCGGAGUAGCGGUAAAAUGCGUAGAUCUCGAGAGGAACACCGAUGGCGAAGGCAGCCUCUUGGCCCACUACUGACGCUGAGGUACGAAAGCGUGGGGAGCAAACAGG